AACUCUGGUAUUGAUUGGUGCUUGCAUCAUGAUUUACAUUUGACUGAGUGGCGAACUGGUGAGUAACACGUGGGAAACCUGCCCAGAAGCGGGGGAUAACACCUGGAAACAGAUGCUAAUACCGCAUAACAACUUGGACCGCAUGGUCCGAGCUUGAAAGAUGGCUUCGGCUAUCACUUUUGGAUGGUCCCGCGGCGUAUUAGCUAGAUGGUGGGGUAACGGCUCACCAUGGCAAUGAUACGUAGCCGACCUGAGAGGGUAAUCGGCCACAUUGGGACUGAGACACGGCCCAAACUCCUACGGGAGGCAGCAGUAGGGAAUCUUCCACAAUGGACGAAAGUCUGAUGGAGCAACGCCGCGUGAGUGAAGAAGGGUUUCGGCUCGUAAAACUCUGUUGUUAAAGAAGAACAUAUCUGAGAGUAACUGUUCAGGUAUUGACGGUAUUUAACCAGAAAGCCACGGCUAACUACGUGCCAGCAGCCGCGGUAAUACGUAGGUGGCAAGCGUUGUCCGGAUUUAUUGGGCGUAAAGCGAGCGCAGGCGGUUUUUUAAGUCUGAUGUGAAAGCCUUCGGCUCAACCGAAGAAGUGCAUCGGAAACUGGGAAACUUGAGUGCAGAAGAGGACAGUGGAACUCCAUGUGUAGCGGUGAAAUGCGUAGAUAUAUGGAAGAACACCAGUGGCGAAGGCGGCUGUCUGGUCUGUAACUGACGCUGAGGCUCGAAAGUAUGGGUAGCAAACAGGAUUAGAUACCCUGGUAGUCCAUACCGUAAACGAUGAAUGCUAAGUGUUGGAGGGUUUCCGCCCUUCAGUGCUGCAGCUAACGCAUUAAGCAUUCCGCCUGGGGAGUACGGCCGCAAGGCUGAAACUCAAAGGAAUUGACGGGGGCCCGCACAAGCGGUGGAGCAUGUGGUUUAAUUCGAAGCUACGCGAAGAACCUUACCAGGUCUUGACAUACUAUGCAAAUCUAAGAGAUUAGACGUUCCCUUCGGGGACAUGGAUACAGGUGGUGCAUGGUUGUCGUCAGCUCGUGUCGUGAGAUGUUGGGUUAAGUCCCGCAACGAGCGCAACCCUUAUUAUCAGUUGCCAGCAUUAAGUUGGGCACUCUGGUGAGACUGCCGGUGACAAACCGGAGGAAGGUGGGGAUGACGUCAAAUCAUCAUGCCCCUUAUGACCUGGGCUACACACGUGCUACAAUGGAUGGUACAACGAGUUGCGAACUCGCGAGAGUAAGCUAAUCUCUUAAAGCCAUUCUCAGUUCGGAUUGUAGGCUGCAACUCGCCUACAUGAAGUCGGAAUCGCUAGUAAUCGCGGAUCAGCAUGCCGCGGUGAAUACGUUCCCGGGCCUUGUACACA
rnacentral:rRNA from 2 species